GUGCCAGCCGCCGCGGUAAUACGGAGGGUGCAAGCGUUGUCCGGAAUCACUGGGCGUAAAGGGUGCGCAGGCGGGGCAGCAAGUCGGAGGUGAAAUCCCACGGCUCAACCGUGGAAGUGCCUUCGAAACUGCUGCUCUUGAGUCCCGGAGAGGUUGCCGGAAUUCGUGGUGUAGCGGUGAAAUGCGUAGAUAUCACGAGGAACACCAGAGGCGAAAGCGGGCAACUGGACGGGUACUGACGCUCAGGCACGAAAGCUAGGGUCUCAAACCGGAUUAGAUACCCUGGUAGUCC
rnacentral:rRNA from 1 species